AUGCUCAUCCCCAUAAGCCUGCACUCUCAGGAGGGGUCAAAAAAUGUACUGGUAUUAUCACAGACAUUCAAAUUAACCCAGGCCCAGUUCACACUCCUGGACAGGGGCCUCUCUUUCAUCCCCACUAGGGGGAGCCAGAGCAACAUUAUUGAGCAGAGCAGAUGGGACCUGCAGCAAUAUCACAGGAGAAUCAAACUCCAUGUUUAUUUUCAAAACAAAAAAGAUGUGAUUUUCACCCCCUUUACCCAAAAAUCUGAUUGGAGCCCCCCCCUGUCUAAUUUGCCACCAGAAAUCACUGACCUCAUCCAAGCGGAUAUUCAUUAUUUUGAAAACAAUUUCCAGCCAAUCCCAAUCAGGAACAACUUGAACCGGGAGGAAAUUGAAGCCCUCAAGGAACUAAAAGAAAACAAAAAUAUAAUCAUAAAACCAGCAGAUAAAGGCAGUGCAGUAGUGGUGAUGGACAGGGAACAAUAUUUAUUUGAAGGCAACAGACAGCUAACAGACAAAAAGUACUAUUCUGUCUUAAAGGAACCUAUCUACCCUGAAACUAAAAAAAUGGUGCAACCAAUUAUCAAAUCAUUAUUAGAUAAAAAAUUCAUAAACAAAAAACAAUACACUUACCUGCUGGGUAAUCCGAUCCCCCGGCCCAGACUGUUUUAUCUGCUCCCCAAGAUUCAUAAAGAGCCCUCAAAGUGGAGUGUCCCCUUUGAAAUCCCACCUGGGAGGCCGAUUGUCUCUGAUUGUGACAGUGAGACCUACUACACGGCCCAAUGUAUUGAUUAUUAUAUCAAUCCACUUUCUAACAGACACUUUGGCUAUCUCAAGGACACCUACCACUUUGUGAAUACGGUCAAACAACUCCAUAUCCCCCCCGACUCCAUCCUGUUCACGAUGGAUGUCGACAGUUUAUACACCAAUAUAGAUAUUGAUGAAGGCAUUCAGGCCAUAAAAAACAUAUUUACAAAAUUUCCAGACAAAAAGAGACCUGAUAAGGAACUAUUACAACUCCUUGCAAUCAACUUGAGGAGAAAUGAUUUUGAAUUUGACAAUAAAUUUUAUUUACAAAUUAAAGGCACUGCCAUGGGCAAAAAAUUUGCACCGGCAUAUGCCAACAUCUUCAUGGCCGAAUGGGAGACCUCCGCCCUGGCAGCCUGCAACAAAAAACCAUUACAUUAUUAUAGAUAUCUGGAUGACAUCUGGGGGGUCUGGCCCCACUCUUUGGAAGAAUUUGACCAAUUUGUACUCACCUUGAAUAAUCACAACCCGUCCAUCACAUUGAAGUCCUCCACUAGCACCACGUCGGUCGACUUCCUGGAUACCACCACCUACAAGGGGAUCAAUUUCCAGCAUACAACAAAUUUAGACAUUAAAGUUUUCUUCAAAGAAACAGACACCCAUGCCCUGCUUUAUAAAACCAGCCACCACCCCAAACACACAUACAGGGGCCUAUUGAAAUCACAAUUACUCCGUUUCCACCGUAUCUGCACCCACAAAAGCGACUUCAUGGCGGCCACUAAAACGCUUUUCAGAGCUCUCGCCACCAGGGGCUAUGUACGCUCCUUCCGUCGGAAGGCCCUCAGCACCUUUCUGGAAACAAAACCAGUAGACACGUCGGAUGUACUCCCCUUCGUCACCACCUAUUCCAAGCCAGCAAUCGCUCUGUGCAGAAAAAUCAAGGACAAUUUCCAACAAAAAAUCAUAGAUCCAGGACUCCUAAAUAACCACAGAUUCAUAGCAGCCUAUAGGAAAAACAAAAACCUCCAGGACUAUCUGGUGGCAGCCAAAAUUAAGCCCCUAUCGACCUCAAAACCCAGAGGCUACGGCCAAUUUUUCAAACAUGCCACCUGGAUCCGCAGCCAUGUUAAUAAAACAGUCCAUAAGACUAUGGCAUGUGGAAAUCCACACUCCAAAAAUUGCGUGUAUCUUAUUUCAUGUCUCAUGUGCGGCCUACAGUAUGUGGGUGAGACCAGAAAUACGCUCUUACAGCGGUUCACCCAACACCGCUACAACAUCAAGAGACGGAGGGAAACCCACACGCCUCUGGUCAGCCAUUUUCUGGCCCAUGGAUGGUCGUCUGUCCGGGCCACGAUCAUCCAGAUGGACCCCAGCUGGAACGCCACACAGAGAACCCGAGCUGAAAGGACAGGAUAA
rnacentral:lncRNA from 15 species